rnacentral:rRNA from 1 species
AACGCGAAGAACCUUACCUGGGCUUGAACUACUCGUGGUAAGCUGAUGGAAACAUUGGCUGACCCGCAAGGGAGCGAGCAGAGGUGCUGCAUGGUUGUCGUCAGCUCGUGUCGUGAGAUGUUGGGUUAAGUCCCGCAACGAGCGCAACCCCUACUCGAUGUUGCUAAUCCCGCAAGGGAUGCACUCUUCGAGAACUGCCUUCGAUAAGAAGGAGGAAGGUGGGGACGACGUCAAAUCCUCAUGGCCCUUAUGUCCAGGGCUACACACGUGCUACAAUGGCCGGUACAACGGGAAGCAAUACCGUAAGGUGGAGCCAAACCCUGAAAGCCGGCCCCAGUUCAGAUUGUGGGCUGCAACUCGCCCACAUGAAGGCGGAAUCGCUAGUAAUCGCGAAUCAGCAGGUCGCGGUGAAUACGUUCCCGGGCCUUGUACACACCGAUAGC